rnacentral:rRNA from 1 species
GUAGGUGGCAAGCGUUGUCCGGAAUUAUUGGGCGUAAAGCGCGCGCAGGCGGUUCUUUAAGUCUGAUGUGAAAGCCCACGGCUCAACCGUGGAGGGUCAUUGGAAACUGGAGAACUUGAGUACAGAAGAGGAAAGCGGAAUUCCACGUGUAGCGGUGAAAUGCGUAGAGAUGUGGAGGAACACCAGUGGCGAAGGCGGCCUUCUGGUCUGUAACUGACGCUGAGGCGCGAAAGCGUGGGGAGCAAACAGGGAUUAGAUACCCUGGUAGUCCACGCUGUAAACGAUGAGUGCUAAGUGUUAGGGGGGUUUUCCGCCCCCCUUAGUGCUGCAGCUAACGCAUUAAGCACUCCGCCUGGGAGUACGGCCGCAAGGCUG